rnacentral:rRNA from 1 species
UUGUAACACGGACCAAGGAGUCUAACAUAUGUGCGAGUGUUAGGGUGGCAAACCCGCAACGCGUAAUGAAAGUAAAGGCGAUGCUUCGGCGUCGCUGAGGUGGGAGGGUUGGGCCUCGUGCUCCUUCCUGCACCAUCGACCGACCAUGAUUCUUCGGAUGAAAGGUUUGAGUGUGAGCAUAUCUGUUGGGACCCGAAAGAUGGUGAACUAUG